rnacentral:lncRNA from 1 species
UGUCAAACACAGUAUAUCUGAAUUUUCACAGCGGAAUUCUUCGAUUAACAGUGGUCUAAAGCCGCAAGCCAAAAAAACGAAAAUUAUUCCCUUGGAUUUAGGAGUUUAAUUGUCGAAUUCUUCUAGACAGCUGAUUGAAAAAACAGGUGGCGCCACUUCUCACGCUUGAUUUGAAGCUGCGCUUUCCGCACAGUUGCUGGUUUGAGCUCGUGUACGAUGACCGAAGCGUGAGGUACCACUUGUUGUGUCCUUGUUGAAUUGUGUGGUGUGGAGCAUGGAAGAUUCUGGUCAACUCGGAUUCUGUUGAAAUUUGGAGCUUAAAAAAUGGAUAUCUUUUUUCUUUUUCCAUUGCUUUAUAAUAAGGGCCGACCUAUUAAUUUAUAUUUGCCUAGAAAAGGAAAUAUAGUAUAUAUUUGGGCAGGUUUCAGGUUGUUUUUGGUUUUUCUUUUUUUUGUUGGAGUUAGUUGUUUUUCGGUUUUUNUUUCUUUUUUAUCUAAUACUUCUCUUUUCUAAUUUUGUCUUUAUGUGUGCUUUUAUCGGGAUGGAUUGAUUGAUCCAUAUGAAUUGAACUCGUAACCAAAAUAUCGUAGUUUGCUAGAUAAAUUUGUCAAUAUAAAUUAAUUAGUACUCCCUUGGUCCUUAUAAAAAUAUAUUCAUUCAUAAAUGACACGAUAAAGUAGUUGAAUGUGUUGUGAACGAAUUAAAUAUUUCACUUUAUUAUGAGUGAAAAUUUUAUUAAAAAUAGACUGGUUUCAUUUUGUGAGAACGGAUCGGUAAGUAUGGUGAUUCUAUUAUCUAUAAAUUGGUACAUGAGAUGAAACGUAAAAUAUUUAAAAGCGUAAUAUUUUUGAAUGUGAUAUCUUUUAUAUCUAUAUCAAUAUUAUUAAUUUAAAAAAUAUACGUAUAUAUUAAUAUUACAUUUAGUCUAUUUAUUAUAUAAACACACAGUUUAUGGCAAAAUUGUAAUUAAAGAAUCAAUAAAAGGAUAUUUAUAAAAUUCAACAAAUCUCAUAUCCCCAUAUAUUUUCUCUCUCCUCUCUCCCCUCUCUCCCCUCUUUCAUGAUACGCAUUCUUCAAUUUUCUACUCUCUCUCUCUCACUCUCUCACUCUCUUUCUCUCAUAUUCCUUUUCAUAUUUUGAUGAUUUAAAAAAAAUUAAAUUUUAUUUAUAAAAAAUAUUCAAUAUAUAUCUUAAAUUAAAGAUGAAUGCAAGAUCUUUGAUUUGGUAUCAAAUAAUUAUUCAACUCUUUUAUUAGUAUUCUAAUAAAUUCUAAUAAUAUAAUUUAUUUUCCUACUUAUCAAUUGAAGCUUUUCUAAUAAGAUGACAUAGGUAAUGAGCUAACUUAGAAAAANAAGAAAAUUCAACUCACUUAACCACUGAGUAUGCGGGAUUGGAGCGUAGGGGGUUGGGAUAAGUCUGACAAAUGUUCAAGCACAAAAGUGAAUAAGUAAAGAACAAAGGAACUGAAACUAAUUUAGAACAAAAGGUACAAAACAAUAAUGAAAUCAUUGACACAUGGGACCAGACUGAGUUGGUCCUCCUACCAUCUUCUAUAUUUCCUAAAAGAGACUGCUUAAACAAAUCCAUGCCAGUACAAAAAGUACAAAUUUCUGUUACAAUUCAUCUCUUUUUUAUUCCCUAUUAUGGGAUACUUCUCACCUUAAGUAUGCUAUGUUAAAUGAGAAUUAUUUAACUCAGAACACACAAAAGGUUCCGGAUAAAGCCUUGGCUGUGGAAUUAAAUACUCCCUUCGUUCCCCAAAAUAAGUUCCUCUUUGGGAACGGCACGAGUUUUAAGAAAAAAUGUUAAAAUAUAUUGACAGUGGAGAAAAAUAUGUUAUAAUUAGUAUUGAGAGUGGUGAAAAUGUGAAAAAGUAUUAUAAUUAGUAUUGGGAGUGGUUGAAAAAGUGAAAAGUAAGAAUAAAUAAUGUAUUAUUAGUGGUGGGGUAGUUGUCAAAAAAUGGAAAGAAAGAAAGAGGAACUUAUUUGGGGGACGUCCCAAAAAGGAAAAAGAGGAACUUAUUUCAGGGACGGAGGGAGUACUAACCAACUUUGAGCAGUCAAUUCCUAAGAAGUUAAGGUAAAAAAGGAUAGUGGAAAAAUCAAUGCAUCCAUGAAGCAUAUUUACAGAACAAUUAUUUCACAUUUACUGAUAAAUGUGAUAGACUCGUACCAAGGAAAAAGAAUCAGUUAGGAUAUAUUUUUCUUUAUGAUCCCAACAAUCAAUAUCUCCAAUCCUCAUUCACAUUGUAAUGCAAAAUACACAUGCAAACUGAAGCUAAACCACAGAAUUCUAGGUUUCUUAGAUGCGUAGAUAUUUGAAAAAGGUAUGCUUGUGCAUCUAAUAAUCACAUGCAGCACAUGAGUUAACUCUUUACAUACACAAGAUUUAUCCACAGCGUGGCGGACAGAGUAAGACUCAUGGGGAUCGCCUCCACCAAUCAAUUUCUUUUUCUUUUUAUUUUAUCUAUGCUUAUAGGAUAGACCAAAACACCUGAAUCUUGUGCGAAACUCAAAAGUCCCAAUCACCGCCGAAGAGGACCUUUAGGGGUAAAAUCCCCCAUUACCGAACUGAAUCGCCCAAAACUUGCCUUCUCGAAGUCUCAAACUCAAAGUGACGAAGAACAGGAAAAAGGCAUUGGGAGCUGAAGAUUGACGAGAAGGCAGCAUCUGCUGAAGCAAAUUUCUACUAAGUGGAGCUCCCAAUGAAAUUUUCUAAGACGGCCCACAACACCUUAUGAAUUUUUGCCUCAAACUCCCAAAGUGAUCUAAUAAUGAUCUUGCAUGCAAAACCACCAAACUAAAGUCCACGACACAAUCCAACAACACAUUAAACAACAUGCUAGUCGACUCCGAAAACGGAAUCAUGAAACUGGAAUUCUGAAAACACCGACACAAAAUAAACACACUCAGUCAAGUAGCAUAAUCUAAUCGAACAAAUAAUCCAGCGCAUUAGAGUAUGAUCACCAAAAACUAGGACCAAAUCGCAACUAACGAAUAAAAUUAGGGAUAAAAAAGAGUGAGUAACAAAAUUAGCCGAUGCAAAAUACAACAUUAAAGCAAAACACCUCAUGCAUUCAGAUUCAUACAAGCUCCCUCCCACACUGCAAUUCAUCAAACAAAACACGAUCCACAAAAUACCGCGCGUCACGAAUCCACACGCAGUAAAACAUUCAAUCAUAUUAGCAUAUUACCUGAAGAUCGGAAAUGUAAUCGGACAAAUGAGGCACAUCUUGGAGAACGUAUCCGAACUCUCCUGGAACCACCUUCAUCUGAAAAUUACUCUGCGAACCCAUAAUCUAGCGAGAAUUCACCCGAUCACGAAAAAACGAAUCCACAAAAAACCGGUGUAUAAAUAAAACUAGCUGUCAAACACAGUAUAUCUGAAUUUUUCACAGCGGAAUUCUUCGAUUAACAGUGGUCUAAAGCCGCAAGCCAAAAAAACGAAAAUUAUUCCCUUGGAUUUAGGAGUUUAAUUGUCGAAUUCUUCUAGACAGCUGAUUGAAAAAACAGGUGGCGCUACUUCUGACGCUUGAUUUGAAGCUGCGCUUUCCGCACAGUUGCUGGUUUGAGCUCGUGUACGAUGACCGAAGCGUGAGGUACCACUUGUUGUGUCCUUGUUGAAUUGUGUGGUGUGGAGCAUGGAAGAUUCUGGUCAACUCGGAUUCUGUUGAAAUUUGGAGCUUAAAAAAUGGAUAUCUUUUU